rnacentral:rRNA from 1 species
UACAGAGGUCUCAAGCGUUGUUCGGAUUCAUUGGGCGUAAAGGGUGCGUAGGCGGCGCGGUAAAGUCGGGUGUGAAAUCUCGGGGCUUAACUCCGAAACUGCAUUCGAUACUGCCGUGCUUGAGGACUGGAGAGGAGACUGGAAUUUACGGUGUAGCGGUGAAAUGCGUAGAUAUCGUAAGGAAGACCAGUGGCGAAGGCGGGUCUCUGGACAGUUCCUGACGCUGAGGCACGAAGGUCAGGGGAGCAAACGGG